UGCUCUUAUCAUACGCAGUAGAAGUAUUUGCUGUGGUUCCUUGGUCAAAUAAAGCCAUCAAAAGAAAGUAAGAUACAUGCUAUGGGAAAAUUGAAGGCAGGGCAUAAGGAACACCUACUUUCUUCCACAGUGUUUAAUAAAAGACUGCAGUUGUUGCUUCUGAAGCAUUUAUAGAAGUUGGUUGGUUUGUAAUACACUCCGGUAAUUACACAACCAAAGUGUUUGUACUUACUUCAUUGUGCAUUUUCACUUUUGCUCCUAAACUCGUCACAUCUUGCUAUUCUUUUCCUUUGGCUUGGAGUUGUUUCACAUUACAGAAUUAGAGGCUAGAUUGUGUUUGCCUCAAAGACGUGAGGUGAGUAAACAACAUGCCAUAAAUUGUUAUGUACACUGGCCAGAAUCCAAAUAACCAUGAAACUAGUUCCAUAAGCCCUUGUGCACUUUAGACUUACUGUUCUUGAACAGAAGAUACCAGGGCCAUAUAGGAAGUGCUCUUGAAAUGGACAAGCAUAAAGAAAGGAUUUGUGAUAAUAGUAUCAUAGAAUUGUUAAGGUGGAAGGGACCACGAGGGUCAUGUAGUAGUCCAACCCCUGCAGCGCAGGAAACUUUUGCCCAACAUGAGGCUCAAAACCACAGCCCUGAAAUUAGGUGUCUCAUGCUCAAGACAGGCAUACAAAUAAGUAAGUACCCAUUUUAGAAGCUGAGGAUACUGUGAAGCUGUAGGGACAUAAGAAGAGCCCAGCUGAAUCAGGCCAAAGGCCUGUCAAGUCCCGCAUUCAUUUCUCCCAGUGGCUGAUCAGAUGCCUGUGGGAAUUCAAGAAGUGGAACCUGAAUACAAAUGCCCUUCUCCCACUUGUGAUUCCCUGCAACUGGUAUUCAGAGGCAUAUUGCCUCUUAUGGUGGGUGUAGAACAUAGCCAUCAUGGCAAGUAGCUAUUAGUCUCAGUCUCCAGGUAAUAAUGGAUGAAAUGAUUUGUAAAAAUUCAUAUAUUUCUGAUAAGUGUGUAUCAAGAGUUUAUGACUUCAAAUGAAGUGGAGAAAGGAGAAAUAUAAUUUGAUAUAGAUCAUUUGCUGUCAGUUGAGAAACCAGUUCUUAAUAACAUUAGAGAGGAACAUCUCUCCCCACCUUGACCCUCAGGAGCACUUACACUAAUGCAGUUUAUGGAAAACAUCCAAUAGGUUUCCUUUGUUGGAUUAUUUUGAAACAUUUACAGGACAGGGUGGGGCGAGAGAGAAUGAUUGCAUUUUAUGAAGAGUCAUGCAAAUGUAGGAAGCGAUUUUAACAUGUCCUUGCUGUCAGUUUUAUAGGAAAGUUUAUCUAAAAAAUGAAAUUACAAAAUAUCCACUGAUGUGGAUUCUAUAUUUUACUAAAUUUCAUUUGCUCUGUCUGAAGGGAAAACAAGUGUUUUAUCAUUACAUUGUGCAAUGAUAUUUUUCAUUAAAAUAAAUAAUUUUAUAAUAAGGUGGUCUGGUGGGAAUAAAAUUAUAUAUUGAACUAUUAAAAGAUGGGUUUUUAAAACAAAAACCUAGACACUGUGAAGCUGUGCAUACAUUCAUAUGUGCAAAUAAUUUUGAGAGCCUACCUUACUAUCAGACAUCUCCUGGUGGCUAUCUUCAUCACCAUUUGUAGAGUAUAGCAAUUUUUCUGCAGCAGGACAUGCAAACAAUUUUCUCAGUGCCAUCUUGGUUCACAUAUGUUUGCUAUUCAAGAACAGCAGAAUAAUGAAAGCAUACUUGCAAAGAAAGCGAAGAAUGGCGGGGCAGUAAGCAAGGAUCCUCAAAGGGAGAUGCAGAAAGAGCCACAUAGUUGGCGUGAGAUACAUUUGGCCGAGCAGCAAUAGAUGUCUGAUGACUGGACACAAAGUUCAUGGCAAUCUUGUAGGUCAGAUACCGGUGAUAAGUUGGGAAUGGCUAGGAGUGUGAAACAGGAUUAUUUGAAAUUAAAAAAGUAAUGAAAUAAUGUCAUUCUUCAGAGUUGGUCUUUCCCCCAAAAUCCCAAGAUAUUUUGACAAGCCCAGCUGUUUCAGUGUUAUGUACUGAAGUUCUCACCCUGGGCCAGCAGGGGGAUACUGUAGAUAGCUUUCACUCAGGUCCACAUAUGCAAAUAAGGGAUUGAAAGUGAUGUUCAGUGAUUGGAUAGUUACAGAAAGUGGUUACUGUUGCGUUCUAGCAGAGCUCUAUAUAAGCAGGCUGGCUGAACCCUUCAGUUCAGUUCUGUUCUGGCCUGUGAAUAAACAAGAGCUGUUUGAAGAAUCGCUGUGUCGUCUGAUAUGUUCACCCACAACUUAACAUUCAGGUUCUAGGGUAAAAAAGCACAAUCCUAUCCUUGAGUUACAUGUGCUAGGUUGGAAAGGGUCAGUCCAAAAACUCUUCCGCCAGCAUAGCAGGACCAUAAGACGUUGGAUGGUUAAAUGGGGGUGGAAAUUACAUUUCAUCUUUGGGCCUUUUCAUACCUUCAUAUGGAAGCAAUCAAAACUGUAGUAUAAUUUUAAUUCCAUUUUCUGUACCUUUUGAGAGAUUUAGAAAAGUAUACAACAGAGAACUACAUUAAUUGAAGCAUCUCUCACAGCUUUUUAAGACCAAACGUUAUCCCAUAAAACAACCUUUCCCAUAAUAGUCUCCUGGAAAAGGAAAGUUUUCCAAAACAUUUGAAAUAUUUGCAUGAAGUCAGGCAGCUUUCAUGUGGUUGGGUUGGGAAACAGGACUAUGAAAGUCCUGCCUGUACUCUUACAGGGUAGAUGAAAACCAGAGUAAGGCCUCAUAUGUCUGAAACAGCAUCUCAUUUUGGGCAAACUUUGGGCAAAGUAAAAAAAGCUGAACAACUUUUGUGUCCAGAUUUUCAUUUUUUGAAAUAUGGCAACCCUACUUUGCACACCUGGAUACCCAUUUUUAGUUUGAUGUAAACCCUAGGUAUAGCUUCCUUUCUAAACAAGUACCGGUAUUCUUAUAGGGUUCCAGUCUUAUGGAACUGACUGGUAAUAAUACACAUAUAGUUGUUAGACAACAGAUUAUCAAACAAUAGCCACAGUGGAGCUGUCUAUUUUCAGUCAUGGAAGUCUCCUCAAAUAAAGGGCACUUCUUCAAUGUACAACUCCUGAAAACAUGCAUAUACAAGCUAAAUUUAUAAAUAUACAGAAGCCACUGGGGGAAGUUAUCCAGAGGUUUGGAUAAAGGAAUUACAUCAACACUCAAUGACACAUUUCUCUUCUUGUUUCCAUCUUUUAUUUUGGAAUCUGGUUCUGCUUGCACACUUUCCAUAGGCAUCUAGUUGGCCACUGUGAGAACAAGAUGCUAGAUGGGCCUUUGUUCUGAUCCAGCAGCUCUCUUCUUACAUAUCUUAUUAUGUAUGAGUCCUAGAGAGCAUGUCUGGGCAAUUUUAGGGUGGAUGGGAGCAAACAAACAGAGAUUUAAUCCAUGUAAGAGAUGGCAGCACUGUGGGUGGGAAAAUCUGAACAGCCAGGCGGUAUGUACUCGAGGCGGUUAUACUUCCCCUGAAAUAUCAAGUCAGUAGCUUGGGAGUCCUGCAUUCAGUGCUGCUGAUGGAGGUGCAGGUGGCACUGGAUAUGAGUAGCGGUUUUAUCAGAUUUGGCUGAUUCACCAGCUAUGACGCUAUCUAGCCAAAGAGGACUUUGCCUCAGUAAUUCAUGUCCUGGUUACAUCUAGAUUAGUCUACUUGCAAUCACUAGAGUGGGA
rnacentral:lncRNA from 1 species